CAGGAGUUCGUGACGAUCCUGUCGGAGCUGUCGCGGGGCAGCGUGACGGAGAAGCUGCGCUGGGCCUUCAACCUCUACGACAUCAACGGCGACGGAUACAUCACCAAGGAGGAGAUGCUGGACAUCGUGACGGCCAUCUACUCGCUGGUCGGCCGCAACGCCAUCCCCGCCGUCGAGGAGAACACCACGCAGGAGCACGUCGACAGGAUAUUCGAGAAACUCGACAUCAACGGCGACGGAAUGGUCACGCUUGAGGAAUUCAUGCAGACUUGCACAAGGGACGAGACCAUCGCCAACUCGCUGACGAUCCUGGACACGAACUUCUGACCCGAGGCCCCGCCCAGCGCCGCCGCCGCCGCCCUGCUCGCGCCCGUCGCCGCGCCGCAGGACCUCAACUGCAACAUGUAGAGGCGGCUCCCUCAGGCUGCCACGCCUCGGGAGGAGG
rnacentral:lncRNA from 1 species